rnacentral:lncRNA from 1 species
CCCACCUCUUGCUGCUGGGUCACAGCCAGUCCACUUUGUUUGUUUUUGAGAUGGAGUCUCGCUCUGUCACCCAGGCUGGAGUGCAGUGGCGCGAUCUCAGCUCACUGCAGUCUCCACCUCCCGGGUUCAUUCUCCUGCCUCGGCCUCCUGAGUAGCUGGGACUACAGCCGCGCGCCACCGUGCCUGGCUAAUUUUUGUAGUAGAGACGGGGUUUCACCAUGUUAGCCAUGCGAGUCUUGAACUCCUGGCCUCAGGUGAUCCGCCCGCCUCGGCCUUCCAAAGUGCUGAGAUUACAGGCGUCAGCCACCGCACCUGGCCAGCCAGUCCACUUUGUCUCCUUGAUGAACCUGGUCCCUUUGGGCAUAUGAGUCUGUGGCUCUGGAUGAUGGUGCUCAAGGCAGCUUCAGUGAAGAGCCUGGGGCCCCAAGCGAGCUCUGAGAGCAGCCGAGGCUUCUAAUUUGGAAGGGGUCAUGUGGACCGGAAGGAUGAAGAGCUGAAUGGUCACCCAAGUGGAUGGAGGACCUAGACGCCUCUCAGCACUGUGUGAAACCCAAGAACCAACACCCAACCCCAGAAAGGCAUGGAAAAGUCAAGAAGGACUGAAGUUUACUUUUAUGCCAGCGCAGCAACGUGGAGGAUAUGAGUCGGAGAUUCAGGUCCAGCUUAUCCCCUCCAAAGACGAAAGACAAUUUUUAGGAGGGCUUCUCACGUGCACAGGACAAGCACAGUGAUGGAGUCUUGCUAUGGCUGGUCUCAAACUCCUGGCCUCAAGUGAUCCUCCCACCUUGGCCUCCCGAAGCACUGGGAUUACAGAACAGUUUGCUGAUGCUUGCCCUCAAAGAUGGCAGAUCCACAGAUAGAAGGAGCCUGGUUUGUGAGUAGCAGCAUCGGAAGCUCAACAUGGAUGGCUGCUGGGAAUCUCCACGUGGGACUCUUCAUAAGGGAGAAAUCAACAGUUAGCACAGUCAUGGAAGACAGUCAAAUGGGUACUCAGCAAGUACCUUCCCAAGCUCCCUUGCAGGGAUGGUGGUCAUGUGACACAGAUCUGACCAAUGAGAUGUGAGCAUUGCUCUCCUCUCCCAGUGCAUUACCAGAAAUGGGAUCACAUUUGCAGAGCUGCACAGAGGGAUGCUUCAAGGAGAGGGGACGAUACUCGUCCAGGAUCUGGGAUUCCCAAACAUCCUUCUGGUCAGCCAGUAUAUGGAGCCGUUGUUAAGCUUUGGAAUCAGACUUCCUAGGUUCGUAUCUGGCUUCUGCACAACUUACUGGUUGUGUAAUCUCAGCCUGAGCCUCAGUUUCCUCAUGUUGAAAUAGGAACAGUAAUCAUACUAUAUUCUCAGGUUGUUGGGGCAACUAGAUCAGUGUGUAAGCCCCAUGAGGGGAGGAUCCUGUUCAUCUUACCAUGACAUAUUCACAUUCCAGUGUGAGUACCUAACAGUAGGCACCUAACAGAUUUGUAUAGAGAAAAUAGAUGUACAGGUCUUAGCAGAGUGACCAGUUCAAGAAAUCUUACCUAAAAAACUAAAUUGACUGGGCAUAGUGGUUCAUGCCUGUAAUCCCAGCGCUUUGGGAGGCCGAGGGGGGUGGAUCACCUGAGGUCAGGAGUUUGAGUGCAGCCUGGCCAACAUGGUGAAAACCCGUGUCUACUAAAAAUACAAAAAAAUUAGCCAAAAGACAAAACAAACAAACAAAAAAACCCUAAAUGAAUGCCAGGCAUGGUGGCUCACAUCUGUAAUCCCAGCACUUUGGGAGGCUGAGGUAGGAGGAUUGCUUGAGGUCAGGAGUUCAAGACCAGCCUGGGCAACAUAGUGAGACCCCGUCUCUAUAAAAAAUUAGCUGGGCAUGGUGGCGUGUGCCUGUAGUCCCAUCUACUCAGGAAGCUGAGGCAGGAGGAUCACUUGAAUCCAGGAGUUCAGGGAAGCAGUGAGCUAUGAUCCCACCACUGUACUCCAGAGCCUGGGCAACAGAGUGAGACCCUGUCUCUAAAACAAAGAAACAAACAAAACACCCAAUUCUUACUGAGGCCAUAGAUUCCUGCAGAAGAUUCCAGGGCAGCAGAGGGAGGGGGAAGACAUGGUUAGCUGGUGCCCCUUCCACCUCUCUCCAUUGAAUAGAUCAGCUUUUAUCAGAUUUAUGCAAGGGAUUCAUUCCUGAAGCUAUGCAUUAUUUAAGACUAAAUUUCCCAGAGGGAUGCAUGUAAAGCAAGACGUGCAUUAUUUCAAAAUUGGAGCAUACGGCAUGUCUUUAUUAAUAUUUUUAAAUUGCCUCGUAUCUAAGUCACACAAUGCAAAUUUGCAUAAAAUGAGAUGCACUGUUUUAGGAUUCUCGACAAGGUUGAGUGGGCAAGAAAGUUUCUGAAGGUUAAAAAGCUCACACCGUAGUACUGGCCUCCCAAAUUUGUGGUGGGGGCUGCAAUUAGUGGUGAGGGUGGUCAUCAUCAUUUGACAUUAAAAGUAGCUUAAUACAUGUUGAGGAACAAUUUACUUUAAUGACAUUUAAACUGAUUCAAAGUUAUUGCGGGAAACUGAAUUAUUGAAAAUUAAUUGGUCUUCCCCCCCCUUUUUUUCUCACUGCUUUUGGUUUAUCAGAAAGAAGCGAGAGAAAUCUUUCCUUCCAUUUCCCUAGGACCCUGCUCCAAACUCAGUGGUUUUUAAAUCCCAGUAUGCAUAUUAAUAACCCAAGGAACUGGCUGGGCUCCUGCCCCCUAGAAGUUGAGGUGGACCCAGGACUCUGCAUUUUUAAUGGACACUUUAGGAGACUCUGAUGUGGGUGAUAAGAACACUGGGUGUUUGCGGCUACAAGGUGCAGGAGAAUUAGCUGGCUUGUCUGGGAAGCAGAGGCAGAGGGAAUGGGGAUGUGGAUGGGCUUUGUUGCAAAGGGCCCUUCAAGGUGGCAGGUCUCAGGUGGGAGUGGCUCUGUGAGGGCUGUGCAAGCUGAACUUUCAGUCCUGAAGCCUUGGGAAUAUUGUUCACGGUGCCUGAAACAGGGUUGUGCCAGUGGAGAGGACCUUUGAGGGGCGUAUAUCAUCCAUCUCAAAGGGUGAUUUUUAAGAGAGGUAUUGUGCAUCAAUCAGGGUGACAAUAUCUGUAGCAAAUAUGAUAAUCACUCACUAAGCGCCAGGCCCUAGUCUCACUGUCUUAAAUACACUAACUCAUAGGUCUUGUUAUGCUAUUACCCCCAUUUUACAAAUGAGGAAACUGGGAGCACAGAGAAGUUCAGCGACUUGCCCAAGGUCACUCAGCCGGUGAACGGCAGAGCCAGCGUUUGAAUUUAGGCAGUAAGCUAUAAUGUCUAUUCUUGGCCCUGUGCCCUUUGGCCUCAACAGAGACUGUGAGGAUGGUGACCACACAAACUGAAGACUGAAUCCUUUUUAAUUUGAACCAAAUCCUGAGAUGCUUGUAAGAUCCACAGAGAGAGGAGGACUCUGGAAAUUGACCAUUGUUGAACUCAUUGUCUAGGCUAACUGAUACGGUUUGGCUGUGUCCCCACCCAAAUCUCAUCUUGAAUUGUAGCUUCCAUAAUUCCCAUGUGUCAUGGGACGGACUGGUGGGAGGUAAUUGAAUUAUGGGGGUGGAUCCCCCGCUACCGCUCUCGUAGUGGUGAAUAAGUCUCAUGAGAUCUGAUGGUUUUGCUUGGCUCUUUUGCUUGGCUCUCAUUCUGUCUUGUCUGCUGCCGUGGAAGAAGUGCCUUUUGCCUUCUGCCAUGAUUGUGAGGCCUCCCUAACUAUGUGAAACUGUGAGUCCAUUAAAUCUCUUUUUCUUUAUACAUUACUCAGUCUUGGGUAUGUCUUUAUCAACAGCAUGAGAACAGACGAAUACACUAACUAAUGGAGGAAUGACUUGAUUCAGAAAUGUAAAGAAAUGGGACGGCUUGCACCUCAGGAGUUCUAGAGCAGUUCCUGCCUGUGGCUCCAAUAAGAAUGUCAAGGUCACUGGAUUGCAUUUUAUGUGUUUUCUUUCCUAAUUUGAUUUUUGGAAUAGAUGCUGUGCUAUAUUUACAUCGCUCGAAAAUCAAAAUAACAUAAAAAGAUAUUUCCAAAAAGCACUAAUCUAUGUCAUCUCUCUGUCCAUUGUGUUCUCCUUCUGCUCGUAGAUGGUCACAUUUAGUACUUUGCUGUAUCUUCUUCCAGUGUUUUUUUUGUUUUGUUUUGUUUUAUUUUUUGACAGAGUUUUUGCUCGUUGUUCAGCCCUGAAUGCAAUGGUGUGAUCUUGGCUCACUGCAACCUCUGCCUCCUGGGUUCAGGUGAUUCCCCUGCCUUAGCUUUCUGAGUAGCUGGGAUUACAGGCGCCCGCCACCACAGCCGGCUAAUUUUUGUAAUUUUAGUGGAGACGAGGUUUCACCAUGUUGGCCAGGCUGGUCUCGAACUCUUGACCUCAGGUGAUACACCCACCUCAGCCUCCCAAAGUCCUAGGAUUACAGGCAUGAGCCACUGCACCUGGCCUUCCAGUUUUUGUUUUGUUUUGUUUUUAUUCAAAUACAAGCAACCGUGUGUGUGUGUGUGUGUGUGUGUGUGUGUGUGUGUGUGUGUGUGUGUGUAUUUAUGUUCCCCCUCCUUAAUUACACAACAGGUAGCAAACCCUACAUACUCUUCUAUAAGCUGUGUUGACGAAAAGAGUCAAACUGUAAAAUAUUUAAAGAGAUUUAUUCUG